GACGAACGCUGGCGGCGUGCUUAACACAUGCAAGUCGAACGGAAAGGCCCUGCUUUUGUGGGGUGCUCGAGUGGCGAACGGGUGAGUAACACGUGAGUAACCUGCCCUUGACUUUGGGAUAACUUCAGGAAACUGGGGCUAAUACCGGAUAGGAGCUCCUGCUGCAUGGUGGGGGUUGGAAAGUUUCGGCGGUUGGGGAUGGACUCGCGGCUUAUCAGCUUGUUGGUGGGGUAGUGGCUUACCAAGGCUUUGACGGGUAGCCGGCCUGAGAGGGUGACCGGGCACAUUGGGACUGAGAUACGGCCCAGACUCCUACGGGAGGCAGCAGUGGGGAAUAUUGCACAAUGGGCGGAAGCCUGAUGAAGCAACGCCGCGUGCGGGAUGACGGCCUUCGGGUUGUAAACCGCUUUCGCCUGUGACGAAGCGUGAGUGACGGUAAUGGGUAAAGAAGCACCGGCUAACUACGUG
rnacentral:rRNA from 1 species